AGCGCCAGGGAAUUACGAGCAAUGCUUAAAACCCAAAGGAUUUGACGGUAUCCCAUCCACCUAGAGGAGCCUGUUCUAUAAUCGAUAACCCCCGCUAUACCCAACCACUCCUAGCUUAUCAGCCUGUAUACCUCCGUCGAAAGCCUACCAUGUGAAUGUUCUUAGUAAGCUUAAUGUCCCCGUCAAAACGUCAGGUCAAGGUGCAGCUCAUGGAGUGGAAAGAAAUGGGCUACAAUUUCUAAUCUAGAACACACGAAAAACUAGGUGAAACCCUAGUCAUGAAGGCGGAUUUAGCAGUAAAAAGAAAAUAGAGUGUUCUUUUUAACCUGGCCCUGGGAUGUGUACACACCGCCCGUCACCCUCUUCGACUGUAUUUAACACUGUUUUAUAACUUCCCCCCCACAUUCUAGAAGAGGCAAGUCGUAACAUGGUAAGUGUACUGGAAAGUGCACUUGGUUAACAA
rnacentral:rRNA from 1 species